rnacentral:tRNA from 1 species
UAGCUCAGUCAGUUGAGCGUGGUGCUAACAACGCCAAGGUCGCGGGUUCGACUCCCGU